AUGAUUAUGAGGGGCCGUACAAGCCAUCAUUUAUUCUGGCACUCUCACACAAUUACAUUCUCCUCUAACAAACUCACAUACUGUUAUGUAUAUAUGUAUGCAUGUCUGAAGAAAAUAUGUGUAUGUAAGAGAAGAAUGUAUGUAUGUGUGAGAAAUGGAAGGCAGGUUAGACACGAUCAGGGUCAGGGACAGCUCUUGAGCAGCAUGGCUGAGGUAGAUGAGGCGGCCGCAGAACUAUUUCAGCAAGCUAUCUGGGUUUAAAAAAUAAAUAAAUAUUAUCAUUGUGAAAAGGUUCCAUGGCCUCAUCCCUUGAGCGAGUUGUGGUUGAGGACGCGGGCUCAGCCUCAGUCGUGUUGCCAGAUACAAGUAUUAUAAGCGUCUAGGGUGUUUGUUUUUUUUCUUCACUUAAUUUAGGAAGUGAAUGAAGUUGGAGGUUGCAAGUUAGGGACAGCGAUAUCUUUAUGAUAUUUCCAAAAGUCAAGAUUUGGACUCAUUGUGGUUAAUUUUCUUUUUAGAUUUUUUUUUUUUUUUUUUUAUUAUUUAUUUUAGUUUUUUCAAUAACUGACGGUAAUCAAAAACGACCAGGUUAGAAACAGAGCAGGGCAGGUUAUUCAGGAUGCAAUUUGGUAACACAAACGUCAUGAUCAUCAUGAUAUAUUAUCUUUAAGACAGAUGCACUGAAGACAGACACAAAGAGGAGAGAAUAGUCAUGCAAGCAGAGAAAAUACUGUACCAGACAGAACAAAUUUAUUGAAAACCAUAAUUAUGGAAUUAGGGUGGGGUGAAUAUGGAUGUAUUUCUGAGGAGAACUGACUGUCUUCCAAAAAGUUUCGAUUGCAUUUUCUUUUUCCUCUUAUCAUCAUUAAAUGCAUAUUAAAAGGGUGUUAAUUGCAGUGCUGCGUACAGCAAUAACCCAGGAAACGCUGCUACCGUUCUGUAAGCACUGCUGUCAGAGCUUGAAUUUGCAUUUUCAUCAGAAUCAGAAAGAGCUUUAUUGUCAAGUGUGUUUACACACAUAGAAGGAAUGGGCUGGGUGAACAAGAUGGAGCCAAUGAGCUUCAGUGACGCAAGUGUGUGCAUACUUCCGGUCUUGCAACGUUCUCAUUUACUGUAAGGGAAACUUACAAACUAAACUUGGCUAGAUAGAAAUAAUUAAUGUUUUUCAAUAAAAAAGCAUAUAGUGGUAAUUAAAGAAAAGUGGAAACACCCUCCUUACAUUAUUGUGUACAUAUGUGUGGAAAUUCAUUAAGAUACCACGCAGAUCGAGAUUGGUUCAUUCAUUCAUCUGUUGAUUAUGAGGCUCAGCGUCAGUGCUUAGUCGGUCAAUGGGGAUCUCUUCAUUAAAACACAAACCACUCAAAACUGCAAUACUGUACAUACACUGUCUGCUGUUUAUAAGAUUAUAAGGAUCUGCAACUGUCAAACGUUUGUUUUGAGGUUUCUGCAGAAGUUUUAUUAACUUCAUUUGAUAACAAUUAAUAACUAACUGAUAACAAAUAAUAAUAACAAUGUGCACAAUUUAGAAUUUUUUAUGAAGAUCUAUCGCAGCCCAUGUCUCACAAGGUACAUAUUUUAUAUAAAAAAAUGUAAUAAAAACAUUUUUGAGAAAUAAAUUAUUUGUACAUUUACAUAACUGAUAAGGGAAAAAGACCAUGUGUACACACCACGUUCAACUUUCAUUUCGUGAACAGUAGGUAUUUCAUUCAUUCACGAACCCAAACAUACGUAAAGCUUCAAAUGCACUCAGUUAACAUUUAUAGAUGGUAUUUGCAUUUUAAGUGAUAUUAUAAAUCCUCUAAACAUGUUGAAGGUAAUAUUUGGAUUUCUCUGGUUCUCUGCACUGGCGUCUAGCACAACCAGAAGUAUCUAUGCACACACUCGCUAGCCCGGCAAUCCAAGAUAUUAAUUCAGCCCGUCUGAUGUUUUUGUUUUUUGCAGUUGCUUCAUGUUUCAUAUAUUUUUGUUUGUUUGUUUGUUUGUUCAAGGUUAGUUUGGCCAGUAAUAGAGCAAAAUAAACAUUUAAUAAAUGUAAAAAAAAAAUAAUAAUAAAAGUAAUUACUAAAUAAAUUGGCAACGAGUAUGGGAAAUCGGCUAAUUUGAUUGUAAAAUAAAUAAAUAAAAUCGGAAAUUGGAAUCGGUCAUGAAAAUCCU
rnacentral:lncRNA from 1 species